rnacentral:rRNA from 1 species
UACAGAGGGGGCAAGCGUUGUUCGGAAUUACUGGGCGUAAAGGGCGCGUAGGUGGCCUUCUAAGUUGAACGUGAAAUCCCUGGGCUCAACCCAGGAACUGCGUCCAAGACUGGGAGGCUUGAAUCCGGGAGAGGGAUGCGGAAUUCCAGGUGUAGCGGUGAAAUGCGUAGAUAUCUGGAGGAACACCGGUGGCGAAGGCGGGUCUCUGGGCCGAUACUGACGCUGAGGAGCGAAAGCGUGGGGAGCGAACAGG